GACCACUCUGGUGGCCUAGUGGUUAGAGUGUAUGUCUCGGAUGUGGGAGUUCGUGGGUUUGAACCCCGUCCAAGUCA